GCGCCCGUAGCUCAGGUGGAUAGAGCGGCUGGCUUCGAACCAGCAGGCCGGGGGUUCGAAUCCCUCCGGGCGCGCCA
rnacentral:tRNA from 1 species